rfam:Camelus ferus unplaced genomic scaffold scaffold303, whole genome shotgun sequence.
UUUAAAGUAUAAGUAUGUCCCAUGCAUUAUUUGGAAUAUACUUACACUAAAA